GACGAACGCUGGCGGCGUGCCUAAUACAUGCAAGUCGAGCGAACUGAUUAGAAGCUUGCUUCUAUGACGUUAGCGGCGGACGGGUGAGUAACACGUGGGUAACCUGCCUGUAAGACUGGGAUAACUUCGGGAAACCGAAGCUAAUACCGGAUAGGAUCUUAUCCUUCAUGGGAGAUGAUUGAAAGAUGGUUUCGGCUAUCCCUUACAGAUGGGCCCGCGGUGCAUUAGCUAGUUGGUGAGGUAACGGCUCACCAAGGCAACGAUGCAUAGCCGACCUGAGAGGGUGAUCGGCCACACUGGGACUGAGACACGGCCCAGACUCCUACGGGAGGCAGCAGUAGGGAAUCUUCCGCAAUGGACGAAAGUCUGACGGAGCAACGCCGCGUGAGUGAUGAAGGCUUUCGGGUCGUAAAACUCUGUUGUUAGGGAAGAACAAGUACAAGAGUAACUGCUUGUACCUUGACGGUACCUAACCAGAAAGCCACGGCUAACUACGUGCCAGCCGCCGCAGUAA
rnacentral:rRNA from 1 species